rnacentral:rRNA from 1 species
AACGAACGCUGGCGGCAUGCCUAACACAUGCAAGUCGAACGAGACCUUCGGGUCUAGUGGCGCACGGGUGCGUAACGCGUGGGAACCUGCCCUUAGGUUCGGAAUAACUCCCCGAAAGGGGUGCUAAUACCGGAUAAUGUCUUCGGACCAAAGAUUUAUCGCCUUUGGAUGGGCCCGCGUUGGAUUAGCUAGUUGGUAGGGUAAAAGCCUACCAAGGCGACGAUCCAUAGCUGGUCUGAGAGGAUGAUCAGCCACACUGGGACUGAGACACGGCCCAGACUCCUACGGGAGGCAGCAGUGGGGAAGAUUGGACAAUGGGCGAAAGCCUGAGCAAGCAAUGCCGCGUGAGUGAUGAAGGCCUUAGGGUUGUAAAGCUCUUUUACCCGGGAUGAUAAUGACAGUACCGGGAGAAUAAGCGCCGGCUAACUCCGUG